rnacentral:tRNA from 1 species
AUUCAAAUAGCUUAUAAAGAGCAUAAUAUUGAAGAUAUUAAGGAAAUAAUUUUAUUUUUGAAUA